rnacentral:rRNA from 1 species
CCCUUACCCGCUAAAAAACCCGGCCGGGUUUUGGUGGGUCUCCGGCUUCUUAGAGGGACUGUCGGCGUCUAGCCGACGGAAGUUUGAGGCAAUAACAGGUCUGUGAUGCCCUUAGAUGUUUUGGGCCGCACGCGCGCUACACUGACAGGGCCAGCGAGUUUAUCACCUUGGCCGGAAGGUCUGGGUAAUCUUGUGAAACUCUGUCGUGCUGGGGAUAGAGCAUUGCAAUUAUUGCUCUUCAACGAGGAAUUCCUAGUAAGCGUGAGUCAUCAGCUCGCGUUGAUUACGUCCCUGCCCUUGACACCCCCCG